CCUACGGGUGGCAGCAGUGGGGAAUAUUGGACAAUGGGGGGAACCCUGAUCCAGCCAUGCCGCGUGUGUGAAGAAGGCCCUCGGGGUGUAAAGCACUUUCAGUGAGGAAGAACGCCUGGUGGUUAAUACCCAUCAGGAAAGACAUCACUCACAGAAGAAGCACCGGCUAACUCCGUGCCAGCAGCCGCGGUAAUACGGAGGGUGCGAGCGUUAAUCGGAAUUACUGGGCGUAAAGCGCGCGUAGGUGGCUUGAUAAGCCGGUUGUGAAAGCCCCGGGCUCAACCUGGGAACGGCAUCCGGAACUGUCAAGCUAGAGUGCAGGAGAGGAAGGUAGAAUUCCCGGUGUAGCGGUGAAAUGCGUAGAGAUCGGGAGGAAUACCAGUGGCGAAGGCGGCCUUCUGGACUGACACUGACACUGAGGUGCGAAAGCGUGGGUAGCAAACAGGAUUAGAUACCCUAGUAGUC
rnacentral:rRNA from 1 species